AUAUGCUUCACAGACUCUUGUACUAGAACAAGGUUUUGUAGAUUUCAAAAUUAUUUUAAAAACAACUAAAUAACCUUCUAGCAUGAAGGUUCACUGAAACCAAGAUGAGCUAAUAGCGUGCUGCCGUAAGGAGAUAGUAGCCCUCAGAUAUAGGAGCCACUGCUUUUCAUCUCAAAGAAGCAUUUACAGUGAUAUUUAAAACAUAGAUGGGAAGUUCUGCAUGCAAAACAUAAGUCACUCUAUCAUAAAUUAGUUAGUACAGAACUAUUCCAAUGAAAUGCUCAAAAUUCCAAUGAGAAAAAAAUGAGAUGUUCCUACAGUUGAUUGCAUAUUUUUCUCCAUCAGUUAAACAGCCAUUGCAAUUUUAGUACACAGAACAAAGAUUAGACCACGUGUAGUUAAUAUGCGGGCAUUUGUAUUGUAAGAUGUUGUGAAUGAUGGAAGGUUGCAUUAAUCCAGUAAGCAACUGGAUGAAAUACAUGAGGGAAGAAUACUGCACGAAAGCUUUAGAUUUACCUUUGGCUCAGGGAGUGUCAUGUACAAAUGGUUGGGUGCUGGGGGAGCAUUCUCAGGAAGCAUUGCUGUGUGCUUGCUUAGCUCUUUUAUUUUUUCCUAGGUGCCUGUCCCUGGCAGCUGUUCUUCCCAAUUUUUGCCUUGCGUUCCAGUCCAUCUAAAGAAAAAAAAAAUGGGGAAAAAAAGAAAGAAGGCUUGCAAACUGUAGGGGAAAAAAACAAAGACAGGGAACUGGAGUGAAACACCUGGCAGAGGACUUGCAGUGAUACCUGUCGUUGCUUGUACAGAGUCAGCUACAGUUGGUGUAGAAGGUUAGUGAGGAAGUCCAGUUUUCUGUUCAUGGUGACGAAGAUGUUACUCAUACGUCUUAUGACAUAUGGACCUGGUGGUACAUACCUAGUGGGAAGAUACGUUGGAUGGGUGUUAUUUACUUCAUAGAAUCUGCACCAAAUCUUUGAGUGCCUCAUGGAGCUUAAAAACAUUUAUUAAAAUUCUACAAAUUAACUUGCUUAUCCGGGAUUACCAGUGAUGUGCUCACAUAUGUUGUAGAGAACCAUAAACUCUGCAGUCCUUGGAAGCUAAUCCUCAAAGCUGAUUUUUUUCUUAUUUCUUCAUAAAACAAAAUUAAGUUAAUGCAAGUUCUGGAGAUACUGGACGUAUGCACGAUGACUAGCUGUUGUAGAGAACUUCGCUCACAUUGAAAAGUCUGGAAGUGCAAGAGAUUCGACUCAAUUAUUUUGGUGUCAACUCUACAGCUGUCUCACCAUACUACACAACAUUUUUGGCAUUGUAACUUAGUCAAAAUAUAUUUGGGGGGAAAUAAUUCAAAUCAAAACAGUAUGAUAAUCCAAAAGUUAAGUAAUUUUUAAGAAAUCUCUUCCCAGCAUCCAUGCAUUUCAAACAAUACACAUUUAUAUCUUUGCUCUGGGUUAGCAAAUACAUGUUAUGAAAAGCAAACCAAACCAAACCAAAACUAUUAUUAUUUCUUUGACGAUCGGUAUAAUGUGCAAAAUAGAAAAAGUAAUUAAUUAACAAUUCAUGAAAGUAGUUGACUCCUAUUAAUGUGCCAUUGACCCAAGCACCACUGUUCAAAAUUUAAAGACCAGGGACCAUAAUAUUUAUUAUGAGGUCAGGCAUAUCGAUAUAGCAUUAAAAUGAGUCACAUUUAGUAUACUAGAUACAUGUUAAUGCAAAAAGUGUCACAGUUACACAGAUUUUAAGCAGCAGAAAAGUUAUCUGAUCCAGGAUUUCUUAUUUGGCAAUUAUUCUGAAAGAAUGCAGAGCAAAUGUUUUAUUGGAUUUGUGUUUGGUGUGAGGGCUCAACAAAUGUUGAGGCACUGUGGUCUGCUUAUGUGAAGCAACAAAUUCUGUGGGAGGCAGUCUCCCUUUUCUGCCCUUCCAAUUAUUUUCUUAACUAUUUUGCAUAAUGUUUGGAGAACUUCAUCCCUCUUGUCCAUUAGAGCAGAUUGCUAUAAGCUGUAGACUUCUAGAAGAACAAUGUAAUUUCCCCAAAUUAUUUUCCAUUGUAUUCAUAAUGAAAAUCUGACACUCCCCUCUUCUUUCUAUGUGGCUUGUUUCUUGUACUGCAUGUGUUUACUGUCUAUUCCAUUAAAUGGAAUUUUUUUGAGAGUAAGGUGGUCAGGGAGAAGAAACAAGUAUAUCUGGUCUGUCUGUGUUCAGUUAACAAAGCUGUAUUUGGAUGUGGAUAAGUUUAAAAUUCAAGUGUAAAACCAAAUUACAGCUGAAAAUUGAGUUCACUUUGCUGGCGCUUAAAGAUAGUAAUUUUUUCUUUUGGUAAUUCUAUUGCUGU